rnacentral:rRNA from 1 species
GACGAACGCUGGCGGCGUGCUUAACACAUGCAAGUCGAACGGAAAGGCCCUGCUUGCAGGGUACUCGAGUGGCGAACGGGUGAGUAACACGUGGGUGAUCUGCCCUGCACUUCGGGAUAAGCCUGGGAAACUGGGUCUAAUACCGGAUAGGGGCCAUUUUUAGUGUGAUGGUUGGAAAGUUUUUUCGGUGUAGGAUGAGCUCGCGGCCUAUCAGCUUGUUGGUGGGGUAAUGGCCUACCAAGGCGGCGACGGGUAGCCGGCCUGAGAGGGUGGACGGCCACAUUGGGACUGAGAUACGGCCCAGACUCCUACGGGAGGCAGCAGUGGGGAAUAUUGCACAAUGGGCGCAAGCCUGAUGCAGCGACGCCGCGUGGGGGAUGACGGCCUUCGGGUUGUAAACGCCUUUCGCUAGGGACGAAGCUUUUUGUGACGGUACCUAGAUAAGAAGCACCGGCUAACUACGUG